CGCGGGGUAGCUCAGUUGGCAGAGCGCCGGACUCAUAAUCCGAAUGUCGCUGGUUCGAAUCCAGCCCCCGCAA
rnacentral:tRNA from 1 species